UACGAAGGGUGCAAGCGUUACUCGGAAUUACUGGGCGUAAAGGGCGCGUAGGCGGCCUGUUAAGUCGGACGUGAAAUCCCCGGGCUCAACCCGGGAACUGCGUCCGAUACUGGCAGGCUUGAAUCCGGGAGAGGGAUGUGGAAUUCCAGGUGUAGCGGUGAAAUGCGUAGAUAUCUGGAGGAACACCGGUGGCGAAGGCGGCAUCCUGGACCGGCAUUGACGCUGAGGCGCGAAAGCCAGGGGAGCAAACGGG
rnacentral:rRNA from 1 species